GACGAACGCUGGCGGCGUGCUUAACACAUGCAAGUCGAACGGAAAGUCCCUGCUUUUGUGGGGUGCUCGAGUGGCGAACGGGUGAUUAACACGUGAGUAACCUGCUCUUGACUUUGGGAUAACUUCAGGAAACUAUGGCUAAUACCGGUUUUGAGCUCCUGCUGCAUGGUGGGGUUUGGAAAGCUUUGGCGGUUGGGGAUGGACUCUCGGCUUAUCUGCUUGUUGGUGGGGUUGUGGCUUACCAAGGCCUUGGCGGGUAGCCGGCCUGAGGGGGUGACCGGCCACAUAGGGACUGGGAAACGGCCCAUACUCCUAAGGGGGGCAGCAGUGGGGAAUAAUGGAAAAUGGGAGGAAGACUGAGGCAGCAACGCCGCGUGCGGGAUAACGGCCUUCGGGUUGUAAACCGCUUUCGCCGGUGACGAAGAGUGAGUGACGGUAAUGGGUAAAGAAGCACCGGCUAACUACGUG
rnacentral:rRNA from 1 species